rnacentral:ncRNA from 1 species
UUAAACUCGAGGACUAAAAGAGUAGUCUUUAUGGAAGUCAAAGCGAUCCUAUGUUGAUGGAAGAUAGGAAUGGAAGUAAAGAUGAAACGCAUUUACGAGAGGAAAGAUGGAAAUUAAGUAUAUCUUUUGGUAGAUCUGCCUUAAAGAUGAAAGAGGUUGUAAGGUCAACUUACAACAAUUAGAGUGGUAACGCGAUUAGUCGUCUCUAUU